rnacentral:lncRNA from 1 species
UGUGGAGGAUUCUUAUUACGUUAUAAAUCUUACAAUCUUUCAUUCCUUUUUCGGAGUUGUAGGAGAUAUAGUUUCGAAUGGGUUUAACCUAGAGUUCAAACAACAAAGUGAUCUUAUAGGUCUGGUAUAUUCUUUAGGGCUUUAUCCUAAGGAGUGUGUGGCAAUCACAUAUCCAACUUUUGUAUUGGAUUCGGGCCAUGACAAUGCAUGAGGACACAUCUUACAUGAAUAGUCAAAGUUCCCUUUUCUUGUUUAGAACAUGUUUUUGGAGGUGUGUAAUUGCUUGUUGCUUCUUUGGC